rnacentral:rRNA from 1 species
CCUACGGGUGGCAGCAGUGGGGAAUAUUGCACAAUGGGGGAAACCCUGAUGCAGCGACGCCGCGUGAGUGAAGAAGUAUCUCGGUAUGUAAAGCUCUAUCAGCAGGGAAGAAAAUGACGGUACCUGACUAAGAAGCCCCGGCUAACUACGUGCCAGCAGCCGCGGGAAGACGGAGGGGGCAAGCGGUAUCCGGAUUUACUGGGUGGAAAGGGAGCGUAGACGGCGCGGCAAGUACGGAGGGAAAGCCCAUGGCUUAACCAUGGUACUGCUCUGGAAACUGUGGAGCUUGAGUGCGGGAGGGGCAGGCGGACUUCCUAGUGUAGCGGUGAAAUGCGUAGAUAUUAGGAGGAACACCGGCGGCGCAGGCGGCCUGCUGGACCGUAACUGACGUUGAGGCUCGAACGCGUGGGGAGCAAACAGGAUUAGAUACCCUUGUAGUC